rnacentral:sRNA from 1 species
UCGGAGUAUAUGGUCCAUAAGACGCUGGA